ACCUACGGGAGGCAGCAGUGAGGAAUAUUGGUCAAUGGUCGGGAGACUGAACCAACCAAGCCGCGUGAGGGAUGAAGGUACAGAGUAUCGUAAACCUCUUUUGUCAGGGAACAAAGCCGGGGACGUGUCCCCGGAUGAGUGUACCUGAAGAAAAAGCAUCGGCUAACUCCGUGCCAGCAGCCGCGGUAAUACGGAGGAUGCGAGCGUUAUCCGGAUUUAUUGGGUUUAAAGGGUGCGCAGGCGGUCUGUUAAGUCAGCGGUCAAAGCCCGGGGCUCAACCCCGGCCCGCCGUUGAAACUGGCAGU
rnacentral:rRNA from 1 species